rnacentral:rRNA from 1 species
AACGCUGGCGGCAUGCUUUACACAUGCAAGUCGAACGGCAGCACGGGUGCUUGCACCUGGUGGCGAGUGGCGGACGGGUGAGUAAUGCAUCGGAACGUGUCCUGAAGUGGGGGAUAACGCAUCGAAAGAUGUGCUAAUACCGCAUAUUCUCUGAGGAGAAAAGUAGGGGAUCGAAAGACCUUAUGCUUUUGGAGCGGCCGAUGUCUGAUUAGCUAGUUGGUAAGGUAAUGGCUUACCAAGGCGACGAUCAGUAGUUGGUCUGAGAGGACGGCCAGCCACACUGGGACUGAGACACGGCCCAGACUCCUACGGGAGGCAGCAGUGGGGAAUUUUGGACAAUGGGCGCAAGCCUGAUCCAGCAAUGCCGCGUGAGUGAAGAAGGCCUUCGGGUUGUAAAGCUCUUUCAGUUGAGAAGAAAAAGUCGUGACUAAUAAUCAUGAUUCAUGACGGUAUCAACAGAAGAAGCACCGGCUAACUACGUG